rnacentral:rRNA from 1 species
UACGAAGGGGGCUAGCGUUGCUCGGAAUCACUGGGCGUAAAGGGUGCGUAGGCGGGUCUUUAAGUCAGGGGUGAAAUCCUGGAGCUCAACUCCAGAACUGCCUUUGAUACUGAAGAUCUUGAGUUCGGGAGAGGUGAGUGGAACUGCGAGUGUAGAGGUGAAAUUCGUAGAUAUUCGCAAGAACACCAGUGGCGAAGGCGGCUCACUGGCCCGAUACUGACGCUGAGGCACAAAAGCGUGGGGAGCAAACAGGG